rnacentral:rRNA from 1 species
ACGAACGCUGGCGGCGUGCCUAACACAUGCAAGUCGAGCGCGAAAAGGGGCAACUGAGUAGAGCGGCGCACGGGUGCGUAACACGUGGGUAAUCUGCCUCAAAGUUUAGGAUAACCUUCCGAAAGGUGUGGCUAAUACUACUGAAGCCUCACAGGGUCCUCGGACCUAGGGAGAAAAGUUGGCCUCUGUUACAUGCUAACGCUUUGAGAUGAGCCCGCGGCCCAUCAGCUAGUUGGUGAGGUAAUGGCACUCACCAAGGCUACGACGGGAUAGCUAGGUCUGAGAGGACGAUCAGCCACACUGGAACUGAGACACGGUCCAGACUCCUACGGGAGGCAGGGCAGUGGGGAAUUUUGCACAAUGGGCGCAAGCCUGAUGCAGCAACGCCCGCGUGUGUGCAUGAAGGUCUUCGGAUCGUAAAGCACUUUCGACGCGGGACGAACAAGCCACUCCUAACACGAGUGGCCCAUGACGGUACCGGGAGAAGAAGCACCGGCUAACUCUGUGCCCAGCAGCCGCGGUAAUACAGAGGGUGCAAGCGUUGUUCGGAAUUAUUGGGCGUAAAGCGCGGGUAGGCGGCAUUUGAAAAGUCGGGGUGUGAAAGCCCUCAGCUCAACUGAGGGAAGUGCGCCCGAAACUCUCGAGUCUUGAGUGCGCGGAGAGGAUGGCGGAAUGCCCCAAGUAGAGGAUGAAAUUCGUAGAUAUGGGGCGGAAACACCGGUGGCGAAGGCGGCCAUCUAGCGACGGUAACUGACGCUGAGCCGCGAAGCGUGGGGAGCAAACAGGAUAGAUACCCUGGUAGUCCACGCCGUAACGAUGAGAACUAGGUGUCGCGGGUGUUGACCCCUGCGGUGCCGAAGCUACGCAUUAAGUUCUCCGCCUGGGAAGUACGGCCGCAAGGCUUAAAACUCAAAGGAAUUGACGGGGGCCCGCACAAGCGGUGGAGCAUGUGGUUUAAUUCGACGCAACGCGCAGAACCUUACCAGGUCCUGACAUCCUUCGAACGACCCCGAAAAGGGUUGGUGCCCGCAAGGGAACGAGUGACAGGUGCUGCAUGGCUGUCGUCAGCUCGUGUCGUGAGAUGUUGGGUUAAGUCCCGCAACGAGCGCACCCUCGCCUUUAGUUGCCACGCAAGUGGAUCUCUAGAGGGACCCCGCCAGUGAUAAGCUGGAGGAAGGUGGGGAUGACGUCAAGUCCUCAUGGGCCUUUAUGACCUGGGCUACACACGUGCUACAAUGGCCGGUACAAAGCGUCAGCCAACUCGCGAGAGGGAGCUAAUCGCAUUAAAACCGGUCUCAGUUCGGAUUGGAGUCUGCAACUCGACUCCAUGAAGGUCGGAAUCGCUAGUAAUCGCAGAUCAGCACGCUGCGGUGAAUACGUUCCGGGCCUUGUACACACCGCCCGUCACACCAUGGGAGUCAAUUGCUCCAGAAGUCGGGGCCCACUAAGGCGCCGCCCAAGGAGUGAUUGGUGACUGGGGUG